CUUGACCCUGUCUUUCUGUCUCUUUUACCUUCUAACCACAGGUAUCUAGGGUUUCAGAUCACAUGCCUCCAAGUUAAUGUCCACAUCUGAAACAUCAACUCCUCUACUGAGUUAACAAAUCAGUGGGUCAUUCUUCAAAGAUGAUGCCCUUUGCUCAAGAGUGAACGGGGAAGAAGGAGCUCAUGUGUGUGAGGAGGAUGCAAGGAUCUGUGGGAUCCAGACAACACCCUUGUGCCUUGCUAGGAGUAGAGGAGAUGGGCUAGCUAUGCAAAGAGCAGACGCCGGGAAAGUACCGCACUCCCAAAGUGUGUGGAGGCAAUCGCUUUGUUUUGGUCCGGCAGGAAAGAUUAAAAUGAAAAGGUGGAUAAUGCGGAUGAUGAUGGUCUUCGCGGUAAGAAAAUACUGUGAAGCAGGAGGAUGCUCCAGGAGAACUGUCUGCAGGAACGGAAUGGCCUUGUUGCUUUCUCUCUCAGACUCCACAGAUUUGGGCGACAUGAAGGGAUCCUAGGUUUUGAUAAUAAUCGUUGAGGAAUUUUGGCCAUUCAGCUUUACUAAAGAGACCUGAUCAGACAGUAAGUCAUGCCAAGUUGUGACCCAGAAAGCCAAACGGGGAACAUCAGGGCCCUUUGCCGUGGGAAGAAUUGAUGUCAGACCAAAGGAGAACAGAGGAGUUAUAUUUGUGAUAACUCCCAAAGGUAUGCUCCAGAUAAUGCUACAUGUUAGGAAUACAAAUGAACCAGAAAUUAAUUUUCUUGUUCAAACUGGACUUUUUUGUGUGUCAUGUGAUAGUUUAGAACCCUAAAAUCCUUUGAUCAAGAUUAAUGUGGUUUUCUACUGGUUAUGUCUCUAAAACGCUCAGGGAAGGUAUUACCAUCUUAAGCCUCAAAUUAUCCUAGUAAAUAUUUUUUUCAGAUAAAAUGUAUAGCACACGGUUAAAAAUGAUAUGGUACACAAGGAAAUAAAAUACAGAGGGAGAGAGAGAGAGCAGAAGCCGAAGACUGUCCAGACACAUGGGCGAUACAGACGCUGGAACUCUGCCGGGCAGCAACAGAGGGGAUACUGAGUAAAGGUCAGACAGGAGGAGAGUGAGGCUGAAUCUGUAGCCGGAGACACAGGAAGACAACAACGAUGAGCUGUGGCCCAGUGGACAUGGAUGUUGACCUGUGAUCGUCAUCGUCUUCACCACCCUCAUGCCGACCAGAAGAGAGAAGUGUGCGCAGAAGGAAGUACAGAAUGUCAGAGGCAUAAAAGCAAAGACAGAGUCAGAGAAGCAGAGAGGACUUUAAAGGAUGUAGGGACGCUGCAUUAUCUAGGAUAAGAUUAUUAACAUCAAAUUUUGAUGCAGGUCCACAAAUAUUAUAAUUUCAAGGGUAAUUAUGGAAUGAGUCACAAAUGCUUAUAAUAGAAGGGAAAAUGAAUAAUUGAAAUAAAAGCAAUUAAGUGUGUAGAGAGAAAAUGGAGAGAAAAAAAGCAUAAAAUAAGCACGUAUCAAAUGUCAGAUGUACAUGUGCAUGUGUCAAAUUCUGUGAGUGUAACUGAAGUACAUAUUGUGGUUGAAGUGAUCAGACUAUGCUAAGAAGAAACUUUAUAGUCUUUAUGAGAUGCAGUCACAUAUAAGGAUUUAGAAAGAAAAUGGGGAAAAUGAUUGGAAAAAUAUACAUUAAAAGCUAAAGCUGAAAGUGAAAGCUAAUAGCUAUAUUAAUAUUGGAUAAAAUAGACUUUAAGAUGAAAAACAUCAGUGUAAAUAAUAUAUAGAUUAUGACAAGAGAAUACCACACCAGGAAGCUAGGGUGUUUCUAAGCUUCUUUACUAAAUAUAAUGUCAAUAUGUGUAUCAUGGAGAUUAUGAAAACCUCAGGGCUCGGUAGACAAAGUUACCAGUAUUAAGGGGGAUGGCACCGGCAGCUGAUGUAACCCACCAGCCCAGUGCAUCGCUGAUGAUGGGCAGCUGUUGUGAUGGUGGCUGGGCAUAAUUACCAGAAAACCAAGAGGUCUGCUCCACUUUGCUUAUUAAAGUUAAUCAGCCACUGCAGAGGCUGUCGACUCCUAAUGAUUUUCGUUAAAUUUGGAAAAAAGUUGAACUGCAGAUUAAUUUCAGCAUCCUUCCUCCAGAUACUUCUCAUUGAAAAGAUUCCUGAUUUUGAAGAGGACGUGUGCAUCACAGAAGAUUUAAAAACAUGGGGAUACAAGAUUCUUUCUCUGCAGGCCUGUGAAGGAUGCAGAGACCCCUGAAGCUGGUACCCAACAUGGGGCUACUUCUCAUCCCUUGUGGUAAAACUCUAUUGAUACAAGGUCAUUGAUGAUGAUGAUGAUGAUGAUGAAUGUAGUAAUGGAGAAUGCUGACAUGCCUUGCCAUCAGGAUGUAAAGGAAACCAGGAGAGAAGUCCAAAUCCUCAUGUUUUAAAGGGAUGCAGGGACCAAUCAAGGUGCGAAGGGAGUAUUUUCUGAAGCCUCUUUUCAGAACUGUGGCUGUCACUCCAUUCAUAAGAUGACUUUGUACAACAUUGGUCCUGAUAGAAGCAGAGGGACUUCAAUAGCAAUAACAUGCAACUCCCGAGACAGGCAGUGUCUCACAUAGCUCAUACUGGCCUCAAGUUUGCUACAUACCAAGUAUGAUCUUGAACUCAUAAUUCUCCUGCCUCCACACCGCAACUGCUAAGAUUACAAGCAAAUACCACUAUACCUGGCUUCCCUCUUAGGAAACACGAAGGACUUUGCAAGGAUGAUAUUUCCUUCCCUUUAAUAUUUAUCCAUUCCCUUGGUAACGAAUUAUCCUGAAGCUGAUCUAUCAUUAUGGAACCAGAGGAAGCAAAGAAGUCUAAAACAACACUCAACUUUGUGGAGGUUUGCAGAGAGCUACUAUGGAAAGAGCAUCUUGGCAUUUUUAUCUUCGCUGUGUUUGUUUCCCUGGAGGAACAUGCUGUUGAAGAGAUUAGAGCUAUUUACUAAGGACAAUAACGAAGAGUUACAUGGAACCAAUGGGAAAUUCUCUACAAGCAGGACUAAGAAGACAUUCUUUUGGUUUUCUUUGAUCUUCGGUGGUGUCCUGCCUGCAAGGUAUGCCAAUGCAAUGGUGGCACAAACCUCAUGGGAGUAACCAACCAAUAACUGAUGUGACUGAACGCCCACUCCAUGAGAUGGAACCUGUACCUGACACUGCUUUGGUGACUAAGAACCUGAGAUUAGAUACCCCGGGGGCUUAUGGGAAAACAAAAUAUCACUGUUCUACUAAAGGAAUGUAGCAAUACAAUGACUCCUAAUGACAUCCUGCUAUACUCAUACGUCAGUGCCUUGCGACUGAGAUGAUAUCUAGAGCCAGACACGGAUGGAGGAAAUAAAGAAUGUUUACGGAGGAGAGGAUGAUGUGAAUGAAGUCAUAGCUGCUGAACAUCCUGAGACUGGGCUCACAAUUUGGAGUAUUCCAGGGCCAGGGAGGAUGUGGGACAUCUUAUUCAAGUUCUUUGCUUCAUAAAAAAGGAUGCUGGGGUUCUUGGGGAUAUAGCUACUUUGUUGGCAUCCAUGGAGCUGGUU
rnacentral:lncRNA from 1 species